AGACAUCGAGCGCAUCACUCUGCCCAGUAUCAGCCGCUUACGCCAGUUCGGCAAUGACACCGUACUGGACUUGUUCUUCUACAACAGUGCCACCUACUGCCAGACCAUUGUGGAUACAGUGGGCUCUGAGAUCAACCGCCUUCACAGCAUCUUCCUCCAGAGACAGCCGCACUUCAGCGGGGGCGUGUCUGUGGCUGGACACAGCCUGGGUCUGUAGCUCUGACCUUCAUGCCAGGAUUUGCGUGUUAUUGUACAACAGAAUGAUUGUAUCUGUAAUACUGUUACGUUUGUUUUGUAACUGAGUGAUUUGGAAUUUUGGUCAGUUUUUUUUUUUUUAAAUGUUUCAACUUUCCCUUAUAGGCUCCUUAAUCCUGUUUGACCUCCUGACGAAUCAAAAGCCAGAGUCACAAGGCACUGACUUGGAAAAGACUGCACUGCAACAAGAAGACCUCAGCCCUUCAUCCAAGUCCAGCCGCAGUUCCCUGAAGAGCCUAGAGGAGGUGCUACUGAGCAGUGGGCUGGAAGACCACCUCAAAGUCCUGCAGAGGGAAGAAAUCGACCUGGAGGCUCUGAUGCUCUGCUCUGAGCGUGACCUGAAGGAUCUGGGGAUUCCCCUGGGCCCUUGCAAGAAGAUCAUGAGCUAUAUGAAGAAACUGGAGGUAUUGGAGGCUGUGGUGUCGGUAACAUGUCCCGUGGGCCAUCCUGCAGGGGACACUAGGAAAUGCCGUGUGUGUUCUGAUCCUGUUCCUCCUGUUGACCCAGUACCACUCUCCUGCUGGAGGUGCGGACCAAACCGGACCACGUUCCCAGACAACGGAGAGAAAUAAUUCCUCUGAACUCCGUACCCUAAUCCAGGAAUGCCCACCCACUACCAGCGCUGUGGCCUAUCAGCACUUUGAUGUUGGUAUUGGACAGGUAUCGGACUUUCACAGGGUCUGAUGGACACCACUCAUGAGUCAUCUGAGGGGUUUAUUAAGUACUAUAGUUUUAUUACAAAAGCAGACCUGGUUUUAUUAAGAUAAGUAGCGCAUUGCUUCCCUAAGUGCUAGCCUCUGUGAUGUCCGGCUUGUCCUCUGUGUUUCAGGUGUCCGUUCACUACCCGCAGUUCUCCUUCCACCCCAAAGCCUUUUUCGCCCUUGGCUCUCCCAUAGGAAUGUUCCUGACCGUCCGAGGCUUAAAGAGAAUCGACCCCGGUUACAGUUUUCCCACCUGCGGCAGCUUCUAUAACAUCUUCCAUCCUGUAAGAGGGUCCUGACACACUGUGUGGUUUACAGUGUUG
ensembl:lncRNA